UGUGGUUCUGAAAGAUGACAUCCGCGGAAGCCACUAUAGUGGUGCGUCGUGCCUAAAAGGUUUAGCAGAGUCUUGGCAUCAAAUUGACAUAAAUAUCCUCCCCCAGUACAAUACCAAGCGUUUCGCAUGUAUUUGGUCGAAACACGAAACAGAGUUGGCUGACUUGGUACGAUCGUAUUGUUAUCUUAUGACCACUUAUAACUUAUGAUACAACCGAAUAGAACGAUAUUGUAGAAAGGCGUCGAAUAUUCCAAGCGUCGUCGCCGGUAGUCCAAAAUAAACAUAAUCCAACGGAUAUGUAUGCAUUCAAGUAAAGGAGCAGAUACAUAAUUAUUUUGAUAGAGAUGUAACGAUGGUAUGCUACAUACAUACACAUAUGUAUACAGCACGGUAUACACAAAAUCUAUUUUCAUAUGCAUAUAUGUAUAGUUCGUCGUUCGUCGCUUUCGUAUGUUUAUAUGGUUGAACUCCAUGAUUAAAUCCUGUUGACUGUGAACAUCGUUUUCUACGGACAUAUUUACACGUCGCCCACGACAACACGGUAUGAUUUUUUCAAUAAAGAUCAAUGAGAAAUUACCCAUUCAAGGAUAUUUCCCAUGAAAACAAUGAUCUCUAAA